UAUCUAUUGCUAUAAUUGUCUCCUCUUCUAGACUUCAAGUUCAUCAAGGAUAGAAAGAGGGCUUUAGUCGGUUCUUCUAUCCCCAGUGACUACGACAGCAUAUAGUAUGUCCUCAAAUACAUAUAUUGAACGGAAUGAUUUUAGCAUACGCUUCUCCUGGAGUAAUGGUCAACUUCAGUGCUCUGUGGUCUUAGAACUAGAAAAAGUAGACACAGUGUCCCUCGUUUAUUGACACAUGAUAGAUAAAGUCAUCAUUGUCAACGAUAACAGCAUACAUAGUAACUGAGUUCUCCGCUGCUAGACAGUCGGCUGCUGGCUUCGUCCAUGGCUGUAGAGCUAGAAGUCUUCCCCAGCCCCGCAUCUCCAGCAGCCCUCAGGCCUUUUACUUCACUGCCGCUCACCCAGGGAAUUCAGCUGCAGCUCUCCCUAUUUGGAUCAAGGUAAUUCUUCUCUUCAGUGAAACCUGUCUACAUCUCCACUAAGGUUUCUAACUCAUCAUUUG
rnacentral:lncRNA from 1 species